CCGCGACCCGCCGCGCCGCCGCCCCUCCUCCUCGCACCGCGCCUUCCCCGCGCCGCCCCGCCAGCCCUACCGCCGCUAACGACGCACCUCGGCGCUCCUUCCUCCAUGCGACCGCGGCGGGACCCUACGAGGCCCCACACACCUGUCACCCGCUAACCGUAUCACUUCACACUUAACUCGGACGGUCCGUGACAACUAUGCUUCAAGACUAGGCUGACUUUGAUUAACCAUAGAGUUAUUAGUUGUUGCGUAAACUCUAAGAACAAUUCGUGUCUCCAAGUUUGACAGCCGAAAUAGAUGGCGCUGCAAUGUUUUGCUGUUAUUAAAAUGUCAAACUUUUGACAAACAUAAUGCGCUCAAUGUGCGAAUCCUUAGCACCAUCUUGGUGGGAGUACAUCGUUUAUUCUAGCUAAUAUAAUUAUUUUGUUGAGAUUUUCUACCUCUAAUUGACUGGCAAGGGUCCUAAAGGCGGCCAUUUCUCUAAUAUAAUAAUAGCACCAUCUACAUCUGCUGUCCAAUUCGAAGUACGAAUUAAUCUUAGACAGGUCUUCAAUCAAAGGAUCUUUGAUUACAUUAACUAAUGGGAGCACCAUUAGUUAAUAUAACCAAAUAACGUUAUAUUAUAACAUUGUGUGACAGGGACAACAUAAUAAAACACUAUCAGUAGUCAGUACUAUCAUGUCGUACAGCCUGUCACACGAUGUUAGGUAUAUAAUAGCCAGUGAGGCAGCACUAUAAGUAAAUUUUAAAUAAGGUUGUAAAACCACUGACAAAUAUCUAACGAGCCGUCUAAGUUAAAUCGGAAGGCAUUAAACUACCCAAACUGUAUAGACAGUACUCAAUUGUUCUCAAACAUUUGACCAUACUUCAAAUUUAAUUUGAGUACGGUAUGACACUAUGCAGUUUUCGGGCGAAAGUAGACGUUAUGGACGUUAUGUCAGUUGCGUACGGUUCAUAUUUGAGAGCCUCUAUGUACUUAGUGAUUAGUUAAUUCGCUGUAAAUUCAAGUCUAAUUAAUAUUACCAUGUAUAUUCCCACUUUAAACUCUUAUUAGCAAUAAUAGUUAUAAGUUAUGUGUGAAGAAAAUAUCUACCUUAUAAAAUACAAUGAUUUUCGAGAUAUAAUUUCCCCCUCUAAAUAUAAAGUGGAAAUACAUAUGGUGAUUUAAAAUGAACUUAUACCAUAGCCUUAUGACAAAACUGCCCUUGUAAUAUGUGGGUCGCUAAAAUCUUACGCAUCUGUAAAAACGAUAGAUAUAAAGACUUAACGCAAAAUAAAGGAGCACAAAGCUUCUAUAGGUGUUAUUAACUCAGACGGUUAGUGAGUUGAUAUGGUUUAAUAAGUGUUUAAAGUUGCGAGUUUUAUUUUUAUUAUGAUCAGUCAUUAAAAAUUAAUACUUAUACUAAGUUUUCUUCCAAAUUAGGCCAUAAAAAACGAACGCGCUAUAAACCACCAACCAUCUGAGUUAAGUGCUGUAGCAUUAUUUGUAUGCGCAUUUAUGUCAGUAUAAUAUUAAACCAGUGAACGCCAUAACCAUUAAUGCCCACUUGCACCAUUCUAUUAACCCGGGGUUAACCGGUUAAACCUGGUUACCAACAAUUUGACACUGGGUUGACGGUUAAACCGCUUAACCCCGGGUUAGUGGGAUGAUGCAAGUGGGCCUAAGGCGUCGUAAAAAAGUGCCAGUGGCAGGUACCAAGAACGCUUAUUAGUGCUGUGGCGUACGUUGUCAAAGUAACCUUCAACGUUUCCAGUACGGUUUAUAUUUGCUAGCUUACGCCAGAGAUGAUGUUGGCGUGUGCAUGACGUUCUUGGGUUAGUCAGAUGGCGUUCGACAGGAUAAAAAGUCUGUAAACGCAAUUCAAUUUCUCUCACAGUCAAAUUCAAUUGCACAUUUUAGUUUAUAGUAUUAGAAGUGACAGUGGGUGUAAGGUGACCGGGUGACCGGCCCGCGCGGGCAACAUUAACACGCUUCGCAUAUCGCUUCUCUUAUUAUUUUCUUUAAGUAGUUAGAUAGUAAAUUAAUAAUAAUUUCGGUCGGGCUCGCCCGCGUUAACUUUAAUCACCGGAUUUGUCGUAAAAUGCAUAUUUAUGCUCGAUUUGAUAGAGGCGCUUGCUCGGCUCGGCCCCUAAGGUCUCUCGAACUACAUUUCGAACGAAGUUCACUGCGGGACAGUUCUUCAAGGAUACCCACUACGCAGCUACAUAGUUAAUCUAGCUUGUGUGUGCUUAAUUGACGAAACCCCACCUCAUUUAUAUAUUGCAUAUUAGUCAAAAACCGUAAAUGUAUGAUGAAAAAAGUCAAAUAACGGCAUAGAUUCUAAAGAUAGAGUAAACAAGGCUUACAGGCGCCUUGCGUGCAUUACAUACUAUAAUGUGCGCAUGCCGUAUUGGACUGGUCUGGGCAUAUUAGGUUAACGUAGGCCAAUCUAAGGGACGCAGUUAUGCGAGAGAACAAGCGAUAUUGCUCUCAUUCCACCGUAUAGCUGCGUCCUUUAGAUUGGCCUACAUUAGCUCAAUAUGUAUUACUCGUCAUUACAAAGUUAAAUACACUUUCGAAUAUUCUACGUGAAUUUCAAGCUGUAUGAAUAAAAGUAGUAUCGUCGGCAUAGGGGCACGUCCGGGCCAGUGCAGCGUGUAUGUCACGGAGAAUGUCUGUAUUCCUUGUGCAUCUACUCGGCCGAAUCUAGAGCGGAGCGAGAGCUUCAAAUGUGCUAGACUGCCUAGAUCCGGUCCUGUGACGCUUUUACCAAUGUUCCACUUCCAUAAACGUGCUAAAUUAAAAUGAUUCUUAAAUUUUGUGGUGUUUUUAAUUUAGCACGGUCAUAAAGUCGCGCUUAAUCGUUACUAUGGGGUUAAAAAUGCUCAACGCAGACGGCGCUACGGUGUAACUGUUCCAAUAAAAUUUCGUGAAGCCGAACGCUACACAUUCUUUUGCUUUAAAAAAUACAACUCAGCCAUGCAGCAAACGAUGUCACGUUUAAUGCUAUCAAUCCGCGAGAUGCCGUAUAUCAUUUUUUUUCAUCUUUAGCAAAAAUGGAAAUCUAAUCUAAUUUAGAUUUUUGGAAUUCACUGUAGGUCUCCAUAGCGGGACAGAAAAACCAUUGACUACAAAUAUCAAUCUAUCACUGGAAGUUCUAUAAAGCGCCCUCUAUGGUGAGUAAUUGUUGAACCACAACAGUUUUUAACCCCAUUGCCACGGAUCCUUCGGCGGUAGUUGCAUAAUUCCCAUAAUUAAUGUUCAGUAAUCGGGAAAAGUAGCCUUUACUAACUCGUUCGCGUUGUCUAUAAUAUUGGGACUUAUAAAUAUCGUCUAUCCUAAUGUAAAUAGUUCUCCUAAUUUCGUUACUUAAAGUUUCUAAAUAUGUAUAACUUAUUUUAACCCUUACAUGCAUGAAGUAUCAAUACUCAUGCCAAAACAACCAAAGUGACAACCAAAUUCACUUUAAAUAAUUAAUAUCGUAUAAUAACAGUCUUAAUUUGAAGAGUAUUUGUUUGGCACUUGUCUUAUUUCAGUACAGAUGUAAUAACAGUAAUGAUGUAAAACAGGGCAUAAUUGUUUUCCAUCGUAUUAUCUCGGAAACGUUCGUAUAUUUCGUGCUACUUCAGUCAACCUCAGUACUUGUACAGGGACUGACUGAAAUAGCAAAACACGUUCGUCGAAAAACCGAUGGAAAAUAAUUAUAAUGCACUACAUCUGUAUAUUCUGUAUCGUUAUUGAUACUUCAUGCAUCUAAAGGCUCCGUCACACAGUAGCGUUAUGCGGGCGGCGCGUGAGCAAGGCGCGCCGCUUUUACAUAUAAAACGCUCACGCCCCGCCCGGAAAACGCGCCUGUGUGACGGAACCUUAAGAGUGAAAUCGGCUGAAAAUUGCAUUAGGACAGACAUAUAUGAAAUAAGUAGAUCACCCAUAAGAAGUAUAUUGACUGAUUGUUUCUACGAUUCACAAUUAUUUUCUAUGUGAUAUUCAAAGUAAUGAAGUUAUUUUUCGCGUCUAUUCACUUACGGUAUUAUUAACUUAGUUGAAUACAAGUUAUAUAACACGAACAUUUUGUCUUCUAGAUGUAGGUCUAGUUUAUUAUUGUAUGAUUUCUAACCGGUCCUACGUUCUGUGGCAAAACGCACAUAUAUAAAUUAUAUAGUCUCUUGUUUUAAGUAUUUAAAAGAAUGUAAACAAUCAAAAUUACAUGACUCGAACAUUUAGACAAUGAUCAAAUACCAUAGCCUCCAAAGUCCCAGCUAUACAAAUGCAAAACCCAAAAUUUGCCAAUGAAAUUUGAACCUAUAGUGGAGAGAAUAGGAUUAAUUUUUAUUUGUUGGAAAAUGUAACGAAACAAAAGAAAUGGAACUCUGUUCUAAUUGAAUAUGGUUAAAAUUUCAUGGAACUGUAGAAGUACUAUAGGACCUUGUAGGUAGGACCUUGGGCCUUAGGAGGAUAGAUAAAUAAGGUUGUUGACUAUGGUUUAUCAGUGACCGAAUGACCGAGUCAAAUAGAUUUUUGUUUACUUUUUUAAUUACCUAAAAAAAGAGAAUUCUAAUUAGGAAACUAUUAUUUUAAAAAGUGAAAACUUAUACCUGUGCAAUUCAACUCUGUUGAUGUAUUUGUAGGGCCAUUUUGUUUAUAUACUGUAUAUUGACGUGGUUCAACUGAUGUUAUGGUCGAAAUAAUACGAGAACGGGUUUUCAAAGUAACUUUCGACCGUAAGUCUAUUUAGACAAGUUUCAAAAUGCACUGACUGUGGAAAUAUUAAAGAUUUCGACCAUAGACAGAAAAUAAUUAUGAGGAUAUUCCAUAGAUAUAAAGAUCUUGAUGUGACAAUCAUAAAUCUAUGGAUGCUUUCGUUUAUUCGUGUAAUUUUACGAAAGCAAGUACAGUUAGUAGCACAUAUCUAUAAAAAAAAGUUAGUGUACAGUCGAGUACAACAUCUUUACAAGCCUACGUUCCAAAAAUAUAAAUUUACACAACCCUUUAUUCUUGUCAGUGUCUCAGAGGCGUGUAAAUAUAUUUUAAAGAUGUUAGUGAGUUCGACUGUAACAACACACUUAACUAACCAGAUUGUAUUUUAUUCCCUUUCAAUAAGGUUUAAAAUGGCCAGUUAAUUGUGUUGCCAAUAUAAACGUAUAGAAGUAACUGCUGUACUCGUCGCUAUACCGGUUACCGCAGGGUACCGUGUACGUAUGUAUUUAGAAUGAGCUCGCGUUUACGCGGCAUAUUACAGGGGUCUGCCGGCUGCGACAGAGACAACAUAUUUCAGCGGUCUCUUUCAUGCGACAGGGAACUGUGAUACUUAAUCAUGAUACAGCGGGUCUAUAUUUAAAUCACGUUGGUAAAGGCCUUCGGACUUCGAUGCAGAAUGUAAAAUUGGCACCAUAAGUAACUGAGUACAGUAGAGUUCAUAAUAUGUAUACAAGAUUACGUACUCGACUGUAACUCAACGAGUUGUUCAAAAUUACCUACACACGCUCUAAAUCUUUUAGCAAUAAAUUUGUGUUCAGAUAAUUUUGGCAUCACCCGCUUGACAUCGUCCGCUUGGCUAAUUCCGAUUUUAUUACGCAGUGAUUUGCACCGUUGAGACAGAAAAAUAUAAACGAAAUAAUUAUUGGUCUCUUUUGACAAAGUUAAUAGAAACUUUAGAUAUGCUUGUAAGUUAUUUUUAAUGUUUUUUUUACUAAACAAAUUGUGUAUGUAUUUCGCCCGCAGGCCCCUGGCUCUGAUCAUGAACUUAUGUGUUACUGUUUUGUAUAUUUUUCAUUUUGUACUGAAUUGUGUAAAUGUCAGAUUGUGACAUAGUUUCGGCUAGUGGUGGGGCCCGACAUAACCCUUCUGAUGCCCACGACCGAUAUAAAUAUUACAUGUAUGCAAUAAGUAGGUAAGGGUUAGUAUUAGAUGGACAGAAAAGCAACUGGAUAUAAUAGCGAAUCUUAAAGAUAUAAGGGAACUUAGAUUGUAUGACAAGUUGCCUUUAAGUGUUUGUUAAAAAGUCGGUAAUGCACAUGUGACAUGUUACACCCUAAAAGCCCUAAGGGCUUGUUAUAGUUGACUCGUACAUAAAUAAAAAUGACCAGUUGUAUUUCUGGCCACUUGGUACCUAUUUUGUAAAACUGCAAAUUAUUACUUUACAAUUCUAAGCUGGCAACACUACGGGUUACUAGGUCUACCUUUUUGCAAGACCCUUUCUGCCAUCUGACAGCUAAUAGAGACAAGUUAAAAGAUACGUUUCUCUGUCUCUCAGCAGAAAGUUUUCGGCGAAAAGGUAGAUGUAAUAAGCAUUUAUUCGAGGUAAGCGCGUGACCUUAUCAAUAAUUUAAGUGUUGCCAGUUUAGACUUGUAAAAUUGUAACUUACAUAUUUAUAAGCUUGUAAUUUUCGCUGUUUAUAUCGGUCGCAGCGUUUAAGAGUCAGUAUCAGAGAGUUUUUGCCUUCAUUUCUUUGGACAUAUUUAUGUGGAAGUGUUUUGACAUUAAGAUGAUAUUUUUAGUUGUCUGAUUGAGGUCCCUGAAUACUCCCAAACCACCAGAAAUAUCAUUGAAGAUAGAUCCCACACUAGCAUCAUUUGAGCGUCGGCGUUUAGUCAGCGGUAUGGGAAAUGGUGUCGCUGCGCAGUUGCGCCAACGUUGCGUCGCGCAGCAACCACAGUUGACUAUAGUUCGUUUUCUUUAGCAUUAGAAACAACUUGAAAGAAGGUAAGCGAUCUUGACAUAUCUUUUAAUUGAAAAACGCUUUAUAAAAAUCAGUAACUAUUACUUAUGUUAGCAGAAGAAUAUAAAUGAUCGUAUUAGAUUCAUAAUUGUUACAUAUUUGCCGUAACUUAUUUUUAAAACCUGUUUUUCAAUUAAAAGACACAUCCAGAUUGUUUACCUUAUUUCUAAUGCUAAAAAAAAAAGAACUAUAGACGCCGACGCUCUGGAGACGCUAGUGUGGAGUGUCUCUGAAAUGUAGACACACUUGUACAAUAAUUAGGCGAUUGUAACUCCGUGAUACUGACCCUUUAAGGGUUAAGGCCCCGUCGUGUUCCAAGCGACAGAUUCCAAAUCGUUAGCGUACCAUUCUGUUCUAUGUAUUCAUAGUAUAUUAUAUCGAUCGAAUUUGUUUUGGAUUGUUCUAAAUAUUGUACAAUAUAUAUUAUAGAGUCCUGGACCCCGUCUCAACCGUCGCUGGCGAAUAUAAUAAAAAUUCAUAAGUACAUUAA